rnacentral:rRNA from 1 species
GGGUUACGUAGGUUGGUCAUGCCUCAGGUAUGUACUGAUCUCACUCGAUUCCUCCUUCCUGACGAACCGUAAUGCCAUUAAUUUGGUGUUGCGGGGAGACUGGACUGUUACUUUGAAAAAAUUAGAGUGUUUAAAGCAGGCUAACGCUUGAAUACAUUAGCAUGGAAUAAUGAAAUAGGACGUUCGAUCCUAUUUUGUUGGUUUCUAGGAUUGACGUAAUGAUUAAUAGGGAUAGUUGG